UCAGGAUGAACGCUGGCGGUAUGCUUAACACAUGCAAGUCGAACGGAAUCUUUAGGGAUUUAGUGGCGGACGGGUGAGUAACGCGUAAGAAUCUACCUUCAGGUUGGGGACAACCACUGGAAACGGUGGCUAAUACCGAAUGUGCCGAGAGGUGAAAGGCUUGCUGCCUGAAGAAGAGCUUGCGUCUGAUUAGCUAGUUGGUGGGGUAAGAGCCUACCAAGGCGACGAUCAGUAGCUGGUCUGAGAGGAUGAUCAGCCACACUGGGACUGAGACACGGCCCAGACUCCUACGGGAGGCAGCAGUGGGGAAUUUUCCGCAAUGGGCGAAAGCCUGACGGAGCAAUACCGCGUGAGGGAGGAAGGCUCUUGGGUUGUAAACCUCUUUUCUCAGGGAAGAAGAAAAUGACGGUACCUGAGGAAUAAGCAUCGGCUAACUCCGUGCCAGCAGCCGCGGUAAUACGGAGGAUGCAAGCGUUAUCCGAAAUGAUUGGGCGUAAAGGGUCCGCAGGUGGCAUUGUAUGUCUGCUGUUAAAGAGUCUGGCUCAACCAGAUCAAAGCAGUGGAAACUACAAAGCUAGAGUCUGGUCGGGGCAGAGGGAAUUCCUGGUGUAGCGGUGAAAUGCGUAGAUAUCAGGAAGAACACCGGUGGCGAAGGCGCUCUGCUAGGCCAAAACUGACACUGAGGGACGAAAGCUAGGGGAGCGAAUGGGAUUAGAUACCCCAGUAGUCCUAGCCGUAAACGAUGGAUACUAGGCGUAGCUCGUAUCGACCCGAGCUGUGCCGUAGCUAACGCGUUAAGUAUCCCGCCUGGGGAGUACGCAGGCAACUGUGAAACUCAAAGGAAUUGACGGGGGCCCGCACAAGCGGUGGAGUAUGUGGUUUAAUUCGAUGCAACGCGAAGAACCUUAUCAAGACUUGACAUGUCACGGAUUCUGUUGAAAGAUGGAAGUGCCUUAGGGAGCGUGAACACAGGUGGUGCAUGGCUGUCGUCAGCUCGUGUCGUGAGAUGUUGGGUUAAGUCCCGCAACGAGCGCAACCCUCGUUUUUAGUUGCCAGCAUUAAGUUGGGCACUCUAGAGAGACUGCCGGUGACAAACCGGAGGAAGGUGGGGAUGACGUCAAGUCAGCAUGCCCCUUACGUCUUGGGCUACACACGUACUACAAUGCUCCGGACAAAGGGCAGCUACACAGCGAUGUGAUGCGAAUCUCAUAAACCGGAGCUCAGUUCAGAUCGAAGGCUGCAACUCGCCUUCGUGAAGGAGGAAUCGCUAGUAAUUGCAGGUCAGCAUACUGCAGUGAAUUCGUUCCCGGGCCUUGUACACACCGCCCGUCACACCAUGGAAGUUGGUCACGCCCGAAGUCGUUACCCCAACCGUUUGGAGGGGGAUGCCUAAGGUAGGACUGAUGACUGGGGUGAAGUCGGAACAAGGUA
rnacentral:rRNA from 1 species